rnacentral:rRNA from 1 species
ANCAACNNNCUUAGAUAAAAUUNGUCUGNNAACUGCGAUGGNUCAUUAAUCAGUUAUAGUUUAUUUGAUGGUGCUUUACUACAUGGAUAACUGUGGUAAUUCUAGAGCUAAUACAUGCAAUCAAGCCCCGACUUCUCGGAAGGGGUGUAUUUAUUAGAUAAAAAACCNAACGCGGUUCGCCGCUCCCUUGGUGAUGCAUAAUAACUUCUCGGAAUCGCAUGGCCUUGUGCCGGCGAUGCUUCAUUCAAAUAUCUGCCCUAUCCACUUUCGAUGGUAGGAUAGAGGCCUACCAUGGCUUCAACGGNUAACNGGGGNAAUAAGGGGUNCGGAUUCCGGAGAAGGGAACCUGAAUAAACGGCUACCCACAUCCNAAGGAA